UGCUGUGUGAAGAGCUCUCUGUAGUGGAGUAUGAAUUGAGUGGCGGCAGUGUUGCUGAACACUGGUUUGUGCUGAAGCAGCUGCAGAGUGAUACCAUGAUUGGGUCGAGGAGUGUGAGAGGAGCCCUGCUGUGAGACCUGACACACCCUACAAGAAGAGAAAAAUAACAAAGUAGAUAAAAGUGGGGAAAACUAAUUUAUUCAAUUUUGACCCAAACUGGGGACACAGCAUCUUCAAGACUAAUAAAAGAGAUUUUACAAAAG